rnacentral:rRNA from 1 species
AGACCGAUAGCGAACAAGUAGAGUGAUCGAAAGAUGAAAAGCACUUUGGAAAGAGAGUUAAAAAGCACGUGAAAUUGUUGAAAGGGAAGCGCUUGCAGCCAGACUUGCCUGUAGUUGCUCAUCCGGGUUUCUACCCGGUGCACUCUUCUAUAGGCAGGCCAGCAUCAGUUUGGGCGGUUGGAUAAAGGUCUCUGUCAUGUACCUCUCUUCGGGGAGAACUUAUAGGGGAGACGACAUGCAACCAGCCUGGACUGAGGUCCGCGCAUCUGCUAGGAUGCUGGCGUAAUGGCUGUAAGCGGCCCGUCUUGAAACACGGACCAAG